GACGAAGAUCAACAACGGAAUUCGGACAAAGAAACACGCGCGUUAGAUACAGAGCGAGAGAUUUAUGUGGAUGCAAUCCUCUUCCGGAAAAUGCAUCGCACCGUAGAUAUUCUCCUGCCAAAAUGCCACGUCGUAUGUAUGUACAUUGAUUGAAUCUACAUGUAAAUCGACGGAAUAAGCUGCUUUCCCGAUAGAGUCAAGAGGAGGGUUUAGGAGAAGGGGGUGGCACGAAGGAGACUUAGCGAGAAAGAGAAAGAGAGAGAGAGUUAGAAGAUCGCCCAAAGGCGGAAGCGGAAGUGAGAGGGAAGACGCGCACGCAGACCGAGCGUAAGCCAUAAGCGUGUGACAGGUCAAUAUUAACUCUGACGUCGACAGCCACCCCUGCCGAUACACGUGAAUUCACGUUCGAUAUCCGGCGGAAGUAAUCGAGUUCCGCGGAUGGACCGAAUUCACGCGCAAACCAGACGCGCCUGUUCCCUGGAAUCCGGUUCGAGGAUAGUCUGGUAUUCCUGCUAAAUCAUUCCAUUUGAGCCUGCGACGAAUAAUGGUAAGAGCUGUCGCAUUAUUGCACAAGAUGCCCAUUUUUCCUUACAAUUAGUUACAGUGACACAACGCCACAAACAACACCGUUAAUUAUAUGGGUAUAUAUCAGCAAUUAUAUAAUUAUAUACAUAUUUCUGAAAAGUAUUCGCGACUAACUCUGUAUGUUAAUUAAUAGAUAUGUAUUAAUAGAUAUGUAUUAAUACAUAAAUUAAAAUAAAAUAAAGUGCAUGUAAAGCAAGAGAUGUUAAUGCUCAAA